rnacentral:rRNA from 1 species
GAUGAACGCUGGCGGCGCGCCUAACACAUGCAAGUCGAACGAUUAAAGCACCUUCGGGUGUGUAUAAAGUGGCGAACGGCUGAGUAACACGUGGGCAACCUGCCCCUCUCAUUGGGAUAGCCACGGGAAACCGUGGAUAAUACCGAAUACUUCGGGACUUCCGCAUGGAAGACUCGAGAAAGCUCCGGCGGAGAGGGAUGGGCCCGCGGCCUGUUAGCUUGUUGGUGGGGUAAUGGCCUACCAAGGCAAUGAUGGGUAGCUGGGUUGAGAGAGGGACCAGCCAGAUUGGGACUGAGACACGGCCCAGACUCCUACGGGAGGCAGCAGUGGGGAAUCUUGCACAAUGGGCGGAAGCCUGAUGCAGCGACGCCGCGUGCGGGAUGAAGGCCUUCGGGUUGUAAACCGCUUUCGGCUGGGACGAGGCGAAAGUGACGGUACCUGCAGAAGAAGCCCCGGCUAACUACGUG